UGAGGCAGAGUCUCAUGUAGCCCAAGCUGACCUCAGAUUGGCUUUGCCACCAAAGAUGGUCUUGAGUUCCUGAUCCCCUCUGUCUCUACCUCCAAAGUGCUGCCAUUAUAGGUAUGCGACAUCAGACCCCAAACUGUAAUAUAUUCCCACAUAUAAUUUAAUAUGUUUAUAUAAAAUUAACAUCAAGUAUGAGAUGUCAUCUGCUGGAUCAUCUGUUUGACCCAGUCACUGAUUAACGGUGUCCCCCUGCAUAAAGCACACUCCAACCUGGCAUUGGAGGCCUAUUUUGUUCUCCACUGGGUUUCAUAGAAUAAAGCUUGGUGUUUAAUAAUUCUAGUAAAACUUUACUAAAUGGCUUAAUGAUUUCACCCAGUCUUCCCAACAACCUAUGGACUGAAGCAUUGUGACUCCUUGUUGAGGUACACAUGGUUGCCAGGGAACAUGGGGAUGCUGACUCAAUGCCAAAUGUGCAAGGCAGGCCAAAAGGCAGGAGGCAAGGCUGCCCCUAUCAGUGCCUGGCCCCUCAGCCUACAUUCUUCCCAACUCCACUGGGCUAUUCCUGUGCUGACCAUUCCGUGUGAAGCUCCAACAUGCUGACCGGGGACUCAUGCCAUCCUCUCAGGAACAUCAAGGGUGACAAUCCAGCCUAUGGACCUGGAGCUUGGUCUUGUUCAUCCUGUCAGUCAAACCAAGACAGAGGUGCCGAGGACCCCACAAAUUAGUGGGCUUGUCCAGUCCAGCUCCCCUUGACCCAUGUCAGAUCCUGGAGACCAGCAGCUCUCUAAGAAUUCCUUGAGGAUCCAGCAUCAGAUUGAGACUGCCGAUACAUCAAGUCUUGUUGGACUGAACAACUUCCUGAUUCUUGGCCUUUCCAAUGAGAGACAGCCUUUUAUGGACUACCCAGACCACAGUCUAUAAGCCAUUCUAAUAAAUCCUUUCAUGUGUA